GCUUCUUAUCACAAACUUGCAGCCAUGCAACCUGAUCUCAUCAGAUCAAACAAGUUAAAUGUACUCAGGUCUGGUCAAUACUAAGGUGAGCGAUUUCCAAGGUAAUUCAAGAUUGCAUUGGGAAGCU
ensembl:rRNA 5S_rRNA 5S ribosomal RNA